UUUUGGCAAACGCUGCAUUCAUAGUAAUGUAGAGGAAAGUCCAUGCUUACACAGUCUGUGAUGACUGUAGUGUUUGUGCAUAGGGAAUAAAUAACCUAUGGUAGUUUUUAACUAACGGCGAAGUUUAACCUAAAUCUUCGGAUAUGGUGAUACUUUGUAAAGUGCCGCAGUGACGAUGCUUUUAGAAAUAAAAGAGUGAAACGUGGUAAACCCCGCAAGUAAGAAACCCAAAUUUUGGUAGGGGAACCUAAUAAGAAAGAAUAAGAAUUUCUUAUGGGAUUGCUUUGGCAAUAGAUAAAUGUUUGCCACCUAGAGAUAGGUACAGAACAUGGCUUAUAA
rnacentral:RNase_P_RNA from 1 species